rnacentral:lncRNA from 1 species
CAAGAUAUUUGAGAUACUGGAGAGACUCAUUGUUGCCCAGCAGGGUCGAGAGGAGAGAAGAGAGCUACCCAACCCUCCCCUGCUACCAUGGGUUGAGCCAUCACUGCAGCGAGAGGAUCCCGAGCCACCCCGGUACGAGUCUACUCCUCCACAGUACCACCCGGUGCCAUCGCCACAGUAUAAUCCAGUGCCCCCACCAUAUCAGCAAGUACCACCACAGGGCCCCCCAGUCUAUCCUCAGUCUGGCCCAGUCCCUCUUCCGCGGGACCCAGUUCCUUCCAUGAUUGACCCAGGCUACGUAGAGAGGUAUAAGAGACUAAAACCAUCUACUUUUACAAGGGAAUCAUCUUUUGAAGAUGCCCAGUACUGGUUGGCGGAGACGGAGAAGGCCUUCAAGACCCUAGGAGUGACUCCCGAGCAGAGGGUCAACCUUGCUACCUACAUGCUGGUGG